rnacentral:rRNA from 1 species
UACAGAGGUCUCGAGCGUUAGGCGGAAUCACUGGGCUUAAAGCGUGUGUAGGUGGAUCGGUAAGUACCUUGUGAAAUCCCAUGGCUUAACCAUGGAACUGCUCGGCAUACUGGCGAUCUUGAGCCACUUAGGGGCAACCGGAACAAAUGGUGGAGCGGUGAAAUGCGUAGAUAUCUGGAGGAACACCGGUGGCGAAGGCGGCAUCCUGGACCAACACUGACACUGAGGAGCGAAAGCCAGGGGAGCAAACGGG